UACGUAGGGUCCAAGCGUUGUUCGGAUUUACUGGGCGUAAAGGGCGCGUAGGCGGCAAUUCAAGUCAGUUGUGAAAUCUCCGAGCUUAACUCGGAACGGUCAACUGAUACUGUUUUGCUAGAGUACAGAAGGGGCAAUCGGAAUUCUUGGUGUAGCGGUGAAAUGCGUAGAUAUCAAGAGGAACACCUGAGGUGAAGACGGGUUGCUGGGCUGAUACUGACGCUGAGGCGCGAAAGCUAGGGUAGCAAACGGG
rnacentral:rRNA from 1 species